rnacentral:rRNA from 1 species
CAGCCGCCGCGGGAAUACAGAUGGUGCGAGCGUUAAUCGGAUUUACUGGGCGUAAAGCGUGCGUAGGCGGCUUUUUAAGUCGGAUGUGAAAUCCCUGAGCUUAACUUAGGAAUUGCAUUCGAUACUGGGAAGCUAGAGUAUGGGAGAGGAUGGUAGAAUUCCAGGUGUAGCGGUGAAAUGCGUAGAGAUCUGGAGGAAUACCGAUGGCGAAGGCAGCCAUCUGGCCUAAUACUGACGCUGAGGUACGAAAGCAUGGGGAGCAAACAGGAUUAGAUACCCGCGUAGUCCCUGUCUCUUAUAC